CCUUAUAGUCAUACCAUCCUGAACAUGCCCAAUCUCAUCUGAUCUCAGAAGCUAAGCAGGGUUGGGCCUGGGUAGUAUUUAGAUGGAGCAAUUCGGGGUGAAGAAAGAU
rnacentral:rRNA from 1 species